CCCAUCAGAGCAACCUCAUGUAUGUAGCUAGAUGUGGUGAAGUGGUGAUGGGUUAACUGGGUUACCCAGAAUAUUAUGAGAUGGAGCAAUGCUUUACCCUGUUGGGAUUCCCUCUGAGACCUUUUCCACUUGGCUUACCUAGAACACCUCAUCCGGUUCUGAGAGAACACUUUAUUCAGUUCUCUGAAAUCCAAGAAAUCAGUUAAACUCCAGACUCAUCACUGAAGAUUCUUGAUUGGCAUACAAUCAAACUGAAGUUGAGUUGAUCAAGCUCAAGUGUAAGGGGUGGAUACAGGGUAUAAUACACAUCCAACACACACAAAUCAUGAAUCAGCUCAUGAAUACACUUACAAAAUAUUAACUGUUAGUAUUAAGUGUAUCACACACUUUAUGAUUUGUCUAUUAAUUUUUGUAACCAAUCCUAUGAACUAUCCAUGAGCUGCAAAAUAUGGUAGUAAGCAAAGCUGCAGCUGCAAGCUAAUUACACUUUACUCAUCUUACCAUUUCUAUAUCUACUAGCUACAUGUUAUUUACAAGGCCACUUAUAACUUUAUGCUUUGUCUCUUGUUAACCUGUUUCCCAACUUCUCUUCCUUACUUCUUCAUGCAUUGUUCAUACGAGGUCUACACUUCCCACUCUAACUUCCUGUUUGAUUCAGUGGAAGGUGCACCUGUACUGUUUGUGAUGCAGCUGAAUAAAGCAGCAAGUCCCCAGUCUUCAGUCCUCAGUGAUUUUUACCUAAUACUUCACGGAAAGAUGACACCCUACCAACCAUCAUGUGCACUUUGGGCUGACUUUUAAGGUGUUUAUUCAAGUAUUCGCAGCAUUUUGUUGUUUUAAGCUCCUGAGCAAUGACGAAAGCAGCACAGCACUCUCCUUCAGAAUCACCUUCCUGACUCCUUCUCAUUAUAAAAUCAACCUACUAAUAAAAAAAUUGACUAAUCUUUGCUUCUAGGGAUGUAUAAGUCUAAGCUUGGAAACAUAUGAAUAGAUUUAGGAGCCAUUUUGGUUUGGAACUAAGAAUUCAAAAAUGAGUCCGUAGCUUUGAGGUGUGUGAAAGAGAGCAGAGCAUGUAGGAAGGAGGUUAUCUUGGAGAUGGGUCUGCUUCCAAGUUAUUCAGAAUUAAACUAAAUUAGCCACUUCAUCAUGUAAUUAAAAUAGCUCAAUUGGAACCUCCAUGAGUAAGA